GCCCUUCUGGCCCUUUCCUGCCAGCUGAAUGCUCAGAGGUGGAGGGGUGCAUAGUCUCCAGCUGCUUCCUUCUUUGUUGCCAUUCAGAGUGCAGGGAGUGCUCCGUGCAGGAAGAGCUGCUGAUGGUGGUUGGUGAGGAAGGAGGUAAUGGAGCUGGGGCUGAGGAGGGCCGGUGACGAGACGGAGACGGGGCGGUCCUACCUUCCCUGAGGUUCCGUGCCGGGAGCUGGGGCACAAGGCCCUAGACAUCUGUGGAAUUUAGGGAGCAGAAGGACGCAGCCCAGGACUUGGUCUCCGGCCUCAGUGAACAUGAGCUUGAAGGAAAGGCUCUGUGAGAGUGUGCAGGGUCCCUGGAGCCACCAUCGCGAUGACAAAGGACAGACUCAGCCCUCACACCUCUGCCAGGACUCUGCUGUCAUCUACAUUCUCCAGAUGGGGAAACUGAGGCACGGCGUCACACAGAUAAGCAACGUUCUGCAGAUGGAGAAACUGAGGCACGGUGUCACACAGAUAAGCAACGUUCUGCAGUGAGAACCCCUUCUUCCCUCCUCUGGGAGGCUGAACGUCACAUCACCUGACCAGUGACUGCCAGAUUUCCACCAUCACAGGCUGAGGCAUCCAUAGAUUCCAAGUCAAGCUUUGAGGAAGAUUCUACCAAUUGUUCCAUGGAACCACCUAGUAUUUCUUUUUACUGAUUUAUAAAGCAAGACUACAAACUGAUAUCCAAGCUUCUUUAACAUAUUACAAUAAAGACAAGCAAAAACUGUUUGAGGAACAUUUAUUGAAUAUUCCAGAUGAAGGAAAGACACUGUUCCAGAGUCAGAGGGAAAAGCAGAAAUUCUUCUUCCCACAGUGAUGGAUAUGACUACAGUAACACAAUAUUUUUCAAAGUAGUGUUUUGAAAAAUGAGCACCAUAUCUGAAAUACAAAUGAAAAACUGUGGAAAUUGUCAAGCCCAAGGACAUGACAUAGUGUGGUGUCCCCUGAUAAAGGGGGAAGAGAUGUAACUCCCAAACCUACUAGAUAUCUGAAACUCGAGUUCAUGUUUUCUAAAAUCAAAGGAUGAAUUCUAGGAGCAACUGAGUUUAAGGGUAGAAAAAAUUAUUGCUUCUCAGCGUUUUGGCUAAGAUCAAGUGGAAGAGUAGGAAAAAUUUAUUGAGAUAAAGAAAACUUCUGCCUGAGAGACAGAAGGCUGACCAGAAAGUGGGUCACCCAUCCAUCCUACUUUUCAAGGAUGUUUUAUACAAUAAAGACAUGUGGUGAGUGUUGCACCCAGUGAGAGAGAACCAACCAGAGACCGAUAUUAAAUCCACACAGGAGUUUAUUACCGGCCAGGACCGAGCUGAGCAUCGGACUGGAGCCUCGAUGGGGGGAAAUUAACAUAUUUUAUACACCUUUGAGGCCAGCAGUUUCUAGGCCCCGCCUAUGGGAUAGAACUAGUAAAGCAAGC
rnacentral:lncRNA from 1 species